GAUUUCAAUUGAAAAAGUCAUCAACAACAAAGUUGAAUAACUCAUCAAGAUAUAAAACUUUUAUUUUUGUUAUUUCUUCAUCCGACGAAAUGUUAGUAAUAUUAUUCACAAAUUUUACAUACAUGUGUUAUAGUUUAUAAAACCAGAUAAGAGAUAUGUCAAUUUUGUGAACAAUGUUACUAUCACUUUGUCGUAUGAAGAAAUGACCAAAAUAAAAGUUUUAGAUCUUGAUGAGUUAUUCAACUUUGUUGUUGAUGACUUUUUCAAUUGAAAUC
rnacentral:pre_miRNA from 1 species